AACAUUUCUCUCUCUCAGCCUCCAUGGGUCCUGUCGUUGCUGCUUUGGUGUCAGCUGUACUUCUCAUAUUCACUGCUCUCAUAAUCAUUUUACUGAUGAAAAGAAGACAGAACCACAAGAAAAAAACUCACAAGGUGCGCUUCAUACAAGUUAAUAUGCACUCACACGCAGUAAAUGAAGACAGAUAUGAAGAGGAUGAUGAAGAUGACUACGUGAAUGCUAAAUGUUUUGAUGAGGCAGAUUAUGUAAAUAUAAACGUUGUUGAACCCGA